rnacentral:rRNA from 1 species
GACGAACGCUGGCGGCGUGCUUAACACAUGCAAGUCGAACGGAAAGGCCCUGCUUUUGUGGGGUGCUCGAGUGGCGAACGGGUGAGUAACACGUGAGUAACCUGCCCUUGACUUUGGGAUAACUUCAGGAAACUGGGGCUAAUACCGGAUAGGAGCUCCUGCUGCAUGGUGGGGGUUGGAAAGUUUCGGCGGUUGGGGAUGGACUCGCGGCUUAUCAGCUUGUUGGUGGGGUAGUGGCUUACCAAGGCUUUGACGGGUAGCCGGCCUGAGAGGGUGACCGGCCACAAUGCGCCUGAGAUACGGCCCAGGCUGCAACGGGAGGCAGCAGUGGAGAAUAUUGCACAAUAGGCGCAAGCCUGUUGCGACAAAGCCGCGUGCGGGAUGAGGGCCUUCGGGUUGUAAACCGCUUUCGCCUGUGACGAAGCGUGAGUGACGGUACUGGGUAAAGAAGCACCGGCUAACUACGUG